AAAGAUAACAAAUAGCAAUUACAUCCAAAAAUAGCUGUAAGAAAUAUAAGGAACGCGAACUCUUCUAAUAAUUUUGAUUUGUUUAAUUAUUCUGUUUUACGAAAAGAACAAAAAUCCGUUGUAAGAAACAAUGAAAAAAAAUUCAUCUCUUCGAAGAAAACAAAAAAACAUUCUAAACAAAAAAACAAGUAAGAGGAAUCAAAGAAAGCAAC
rnacentral:lncRNA from 1 species